ensembl:snoRNA Gm23105 predicted gene, 23105
UCCUCCUACAAAGGCGUGUUUUUGGUUCCCUGUCCUUGGAAGAAUCGGAGGCAAAGAAACGUGGUGGAUUUGGAAUAGUCUGGGACCAGCUUGCCCCCUGCAGGCUCAGAAUCAACCAUCCCACAGAA